rnacentral:rRNA from 1 species
GGUGACUAACGGUGUGGUAACCUGCCCUUGAAUCUGGCACCGCCUUGCGGCUGACCUGCUAAUACCGGUUACUAUCCUUUUUUGCUAGGUGGUAGGGAUCAAAGUUCCCAUUUGAUACCGUUCUUAGAUGAACCUGCCUCCCUCUAGCUUUGUGGUGAGGUUGCGGCUCACCUUGGCAACGGUGGGUAGCCGGCCUGAAAGGGUGAUGGGGACUUGACGUACUGACAUACUGCCUCCACUCUUUGCGGAGGCAUCCCUGAGGAAUAUUGCACCUUGCCCCAAGGGCUGACGCCGUUACGCCGCGUGGGUGAUGACCCUCCAAGGAGUGCUGACCAUGUUAUGAGGGAAGAACUACAUUGUUCUGAAUAAAGUCAAUGCCUGACGCUUCCUCCCUACAAAGCCCCGGCUAACUCCGUGCGUUCUUCCGCGGUAAUACGGGGGGGGCAAGCGUUGUCCUGCUUUAUUGGGCCUCAAUGGCUUCUAUGCAGAAUAAUACUUCAGACGUGAAAACCAUGGGCUUAACUUAUGGCUUGCCUUUGAAACUGUUAUUCUUGAGUGCGCAAGAGGGAAGUGGAAUUCCUGGUGUAGCGCGAGGACUGCGUAGAUAUCCUGAUCCAACAUCGCUACCCGAAGGCUGCUUCCUGGUCCGUAACUGACGCUGAGGCGCCAAACCGCGGGGAGCAAACACGAUUAGAUACCCUGGUAGUGCACGCCAUAAACGAUGGGCACUAGGUGUUGGUUCAUGAUGAGUGGAUCAGUGUCGAAGCUAACGCAUUAAGUGCCCCGCCUUGGGAGUACGAUCGCAAGGUUGAAACUCAAAGGAAUUGACGGGGGAACGCACAAGCGGUGAAGCAUAUGGUUUAAUUCGAUGCAACGCGAAGAACCUUACCUGGGCUUGAACUGAAGUGGCUCGCCACCGAAAGGUGGUUUUUCCUUCGGGAAAUGCUUCAGAGGUGCUGCAUGGCGGUCGUCAGCUUGUUCCUUGAGGUGUUGGGUUAAGUCCGGCAAGGAGCGCAACCUUUGCCAUUAGUUGCCAUCAGGUUAUGCUGGGAAUUAUAAGGGGAUUGCCCCGGAUAACGGGGAGGAAGGUGGGGAUGACGUCAAGUCAUCAUGGCCCUUACGUCCAGGGCUACACACGUGCUACAAUGGCUGGUACAACGGGAAGCGAUAUCGCGAGAUGGAGCAAAUCCUUAAAAACCGGUCUCAGUUCGGAUUGCAGUUUGCAACUCGCCUGCAUGAAGUUGGAAUCGCUAGUAAUCGCGGAUCAGCAUCCCGCGGUAAAUACGUUCCCGGGCCUUGUACACACCGCCCG